rnacentral:rRNA from 1 species
CCUACGGGUGGCAGCAGUCGAGAAUCAUUCACAAUGGGGGAAACCCUGAUGGUGCGACGCCGCGUGGGGGAAUGAAGGUCUUCGGAUUGUAAACCCCUGUCAUGUGGGAGCAAAUUAAAAAGAUAGUACCACAAGAAGAAGAGACGGCUAACUCUGUGCCAGCAGCCGCGGUAAUACAGAGGUCUCAAGCGUUGUUCGGAAUCACUGGGCGGAAAGCGUGCGUAGGCUGUUUCGUAAGUCGUGUGUGAAAGGCGCGGGCUCAACCCGCGGACGGCACAUGAUACUGCGAGACUAGAGUAAUGGAGGGGGAACCGGAAUUCUCGGUGUAGAAGUGAAAUGCGUAGAUAUCGAGAGGAACACUCGUGGCGAAGGCGGGUUCCUGGACAUUAACUGACGCUGAGGCACGAAGGCCAGGGGAGCGAAAGGGAUUAGAUACCCCGGUAGUC